UGAUUGGGUGAACGACAUGUG
rnacentral:siRNA from 1 species